GAUGAACGCUGGCGGCGUGCUUAACACAUGCAAGUCGAACGAAGCACUUUAUUUGAUUUCCUUCGGGAAUGAUUAUUUUGUGACUGAGUGGCGGACGGGUGAGUAACGCGUGGGUAACCUGCCUUGUACAGGGGGAUAACAGUUGGAAACGGCUGCUAAUACCGCAUAAGCGCACGGCAUCGCAUGAUGCAGUGUGAAAAACUCCGGUGGUAUAAGAUGGACCCGCGUUGGAUUAGCUAGUUGGUGAGGUAACGGCCCACCAAGGCGACGAUCCAUAGCCGACCUGGGAGGGUGACCGGCCACAUUGGGACUGAGCCGCGGCCCAAACUCCUACGGGAGGCAGCAGUGGGGAAUAUUGCACAAUGGGCGAAAGCCUGAUGCAGCGACGCCGCGUGAGCGAAGAAGUAUUUCGGUAUGUAAAGCUCUAUCAGCAGGGAAGAUAAUGACGGUACCUGACUAAGAAGCACCGGCUAAAUACGUG
rnacentral:rRNA from 1 species